rnacentral:rRNA from 1 species
AGGACGAACGCUGGCGGCGUGCUUAACACAUGCAAGUCGAACGGAAAGGCCCUUUCGGGGGUACUCGAGUGGCGAACGGGUGAGUAACACGUGGGUGAUCUGCCCUGCACUUCGGGAUAAGCUUGGGAAACUGGGUCUAAUACCGGAUAGGACUACGAAUCGCAUGGUUUGUGGUGGAAAGCUUUUGCGGUGUGGGAUGGGCCCGCGGCCUAUCAGCUUGUUGGUGGGGUGAUGGCCUACCAAGGCGACGAC